rnacentral:lncRNA from 1 species
CCCAUCCCACCCUCUGUCUCGCCCUGAACCCCAGCUCCCACAUCUACCAGACUCUCUGGGUCCCUUCACUUCCCGAGGGGAUUAGCAGCCGCUCACCUCUGCCUUGGGCCAAUGGAAUUGCACCGCCUUUGGGGUCUGCUCAGCCUCUAGGGGUCUUCACUCGGGAGGAGGGCGGGGCAGGUGACGCAGCUAUAGCCUCGGCUUCUGGGAAUGGGCGGGCCAUCGACCCGGGACCACCAGCGCCAACCCAGGCUCGCCUGCGAGUUUGCUCCUCCUGUGCUGUUUAAAAGUUAUCCAUGGGAAACACAGGUGGAGGCUGAGCUCUGAUGACUAUGGGAAGUACAGAGGGCCAGCAGCCCCUAACCACAGUUCAGAAGUAUAUGACACGCAGAAGAUGAAAUGGUAAACAAUUGAAUCGGAAGACAGAGGAAGCACAAUCUAAGUCUCUAGAGCAAACAAUAAAAACAAUUAACUUUAAAUAGG